AUUCACACGCGCACACAACACAACACAACACAUGUGACUGAAAGCCGUGUUUCCUACAUACCACAACGCAAAAUUGCACACAAAUCUGCCGAAUUCGGAAACCCUAAUAUGCGCAAGGUCGGGGCUUCGAUUGCAAACAUGGCUGUCCGAACCAUCACAGACGGCCAAAACCGGCAGGCUCAGCUGCUGUGCAGGCACGACGGAGCGAGUCUGGCUCCGAAAGGGGGCGAGAGCGCGGCGCUGACUGGGACCAACUCUCUUUUCCCGCUCAGAGCUCUCGCAUCUCCCCCCCCCCCCCCCCCCUGUCGCCUUCUCUCCCUUUCUCUUCCUCCUCAUCUUCUGACGUCGCCUUCGUCCUCGUGGUGUGGGUUCGCCAUGUAGGCCACAAUCGCCACGAGAUCAUCCCCCCGGCAUGCUGUGACAGUGGAUGAGAAGGCUUUUGCUGCUAAUAAUAUGUUGCCAUCAAUGGGCUGAAGGGAUUGGACUUGAACAAAUCAAACGUGGGAUUUGAAUAUCGUUUAAGAAUAGAUAAGUAUAGUUUUGAACACGGCAUUUAUGAAUGCUAAUCACUUUGCCAUGUUUGUGGAUUUGCUUUCGUUCCAACUUGAUACAAAAUUUAAAGGUAAAAACGGGUUUUCUUCUCAAGGUGGAGUGCGAAAUGUUACUAUGUUCUCGAGGAGGUGUCAUUGUUCAAGAGUGAAUGAAGUGUUUGUGCACUGAAAGACCCCACAUUGCUGCAGAUGAGCAUAACCGAUUCUAUUGCUUCAAUCCAGUAGGAUCCAAAGUUGAUGAUUCAGUUGCAUUCAUAGUUACGAUCGUUCUCACGCUAAACUCAUCGCGCCGGACACGAAACCCUGCAGUGAAGGUUGCCGGUAGAUCUGGAGAAUUUCCCAUCGCUCAGACACUCGAUUUAUUGAUAUCUCCGUAAUUCUGGGGCUAUUAGGAGUAUAAACGAAAACUGGCUGACGUUGAAAAGAGAAACACGACAGUGGUGGGAACUCACCCGAAGCGGCAGGAAUCUGGAGAGAGGGGGGGGGGGGGAUUUGUUGACAGGGUCUUCGACAGGUACAAGCUCUAGUGUUGUUGUUCUGAUCAUCAGGGUUAGGAGAAGGUGCGACCCCACAUCCGCCGUCCCAUGUGGCCAGUCUCGUACAAGCUACUCGUGUCCAACCGGGUCCGUCCUGCUAGCUCAAACUCAUGCCCAGUUCCUUCAGAACGGUACUUCUGCACUCAGUAUGAUGUGCAUACUCUUUUCGAAAUAACAGCUCCGUGUUUCUGUUACCGAUAACAAUAGAGAGAUAUGGACUAUGUGUUCCAAGCAACGUACGGAAUCCUCUACUCAUUUUGUUUUUGCAGAAGCUGCUUGUAUUAUGGGACUUCUGUAGAGACUUCUGCGGGUAAAGUGCGACAAAUGAGUCAGUUCCAGUGGUUUUUGCUUGAUCGGCACACAUCGUUACUUUCAAAAUGAUUAAAAACCACAGCAUGGGGAUCUGGCCCUUCCAUCAUGUGACGAGGACGUUGAAUUUUUGUUGAA